AUGGAGAUCAUUACGAGCAGCACGAUGCUGAAGCCGGUCUACUCCGCGCCGCACCCGCUCCUCGGCGAGAAGGUCCAGCUGACCGUCUUCGACCGCGCCGCCUUGGACGUCUUCGUCCCUGUCGUCGUGGCCUACCCCGCGCCAACGCCUUCCAACGAGGCCAUCAAGGAGGGCCUCCUCAGGGCCGUCGCGCCGUACCCACACCUGGCGGGACGCCUCGCCGCCGACCACCGCGGCAGGCGCUUCCUCCACGUCAACAACGAGGGUGUGCUUGUUGUAGAGGCCACUGUCUCGUCCAACCUGGCGGACUUACUCGCCUACGGCGGCAUGGCCACCGACGUCCACGGCCAGUACCAUACACUACCAGAGGAGAACGUUGGGGAGGCGCUGCUGCAGAUCAAGCUGAACCGGUGCAAGUGCGGCGGCCUCGUGGUCGGUGUAUCAUACCACCACCAAACCGCCGACGGUGUGGCCAUGAACAACUUCUUCAUCACGUGGGAGACCGCUGUACGCCAAGGCAAGGACUUCGUCGCGCCGACCCCUUUCCUUGACCGCGCCACCACCGCCGUGUCUCGACGCAUGCCGGCGCCGGUGUUCGACCACCGGUCCAUUGAGUUCAAGAGUGGAGAAAGCAGGGGCUGCACCAGGGAACGCGGCGACAUCGUCUCCAUGGCGAAGAUCAAGGACGUCAGGGUGCAUUUGACGGCCGAGUUCCUCGCCGAGCUCAGAGCGCGCGUCGGCGGCCGUUGCAGCAUGUUCCAGUGCCUGCUCGCGCACGUGUGGAAGAAGAUCACGGCGGCGCGGGGCCUGAAACCGGAGGAGUUCACACAGGUGAAGGUGGCCGUGAACUGCCGGGGCAGGGCCAAGCCUCCCGCGCCCAUGGACUUCUUCGGGAACAUGGUGCUCUGGGCGUUCCCGAGGCUUCAGGUCCGCGACGUCCUGAACUGGAGCUACGGCGCCGUUGUCGGCGCAAUCCGCGAUGCCGUGGCACGUAUCGACGGCGAGUACAUCCAGUCGUUCGUGGACUUCGGCACACUGGCGGACGCGAACGGUGAGGAGCUCGUGGCGACAGCGGCUGCUGGCACUACGCUAUGCCCGGACGCAGAAGUGGACACCUGGCUGGGGUUCAGGUACCAUCAGCUAGAUUUUGGCACCGGGCCGCCAUGCGCGUUCCAGCCGCCGGACUUGCCGAUUGAGGGGCUUAUGGUCUUCGUGCCGUCGUGCACGGCGGGGGGCGGCGUCGACCUCUUCAUGGCUGUCGCGGAGGAUCAUGUCGAGUCAUUUGAGAAGAUUUGCUACUCCUUGGACGACGAUCUUCUCACAUCAUCAAGGAUGUAA
rnacentral:rRNA from 1 species